CAAUGCCAUUUAUUAAGCAGUCCUACUUUUCCUCUAGUUUGAAAUCUUAUCUUCUAUGCAACUCCCUAAAAAAUGUAUAUCUAUUUUGAACUUUCUAUAUCUACCUAUACAGUUAACGUUCUCUAGUUAAUGAAAAUUAUUAUAUUAUGUUUACUUAGCAUUAAACCAUUUUUGACAUUACUGGAAUAAAAGUCACUGGGCCAUGGGAAUUAUUCUAUUAUGGAUUAUACAAAAAUAGAUUUAUUUGCUAAAUUUGGAUUUUAUUUAACUUUUUUUUAGGACUUUUUGUUAAAAUUAGUUAGUAUGAUAGAUUUUUGAUCCAAUCUUUGUUGAAUUGAGCUUUCAAUGUUAGGCUCAUUUUAUGAAUAUAAUAUUGAAGUUUUCCUUUUUUCCAUCAAAGUUACCUAACAUUUUUUUUUAAUUUGGUAGCAAUAGUUUGUGAAGUCUUGUUUCAAAGAUUUAAAAAUUUCUACAUAUUUUUUCAGAAGUUGAUCUACUUAUAAAUAUUUUUUCUCCUAACUUUUUCCUCUCAGUAGUUGGUCUACUUUUUCAAAAUUGGCAUUUUCCCCUUUUUAAUCUAUUAAGUUUCCUUUAAGUUACAUUUUUGAAGACUUGGUCUUUUAGAGAAUUUUAAGUUUUACAAUAAAAUUAAAAGGGAAGUACUGAGAUUUCUAUCUCCCCUGCUCCCACACAUGCAUAGCCUCUUUUAUUAUCAAAAUCACUGCACCAGAAUAGUACCUUCGUUACAUUGGAUGCACCUACACUGAGAUAUCCUAAUCACCCACAGUCAACAGUAUAUCUUAGAGUUAACUCUUGGUUUUGUACCUUUACUGGGUUUGGACAAAUUUAUAAUGACAUGUAUCCAUCAUGUUAAUAUCAUACAGAAUAUUUUCACUGCCCUAAAAACCAUCUGUGCGCCACCUAUUCAUUUCUCUCCCUUUCCCCCAGAAACCAUUAAUCUUUCUACCAUCUCUAUAGUUUUGCCUUUUCCAUGAUGUCACUUAGUUAGAAUCAUAAAAUUUAUAGAUUUUUUAUAUUGGCUUCUAUCCAGGAAAGGACAUAUCCCCUUUCUCCCUCUUAGUUCUUUUGGCUGGCAAUUAAAAUGAUGUAAAGCAGAUUAUGAGGAGAAAUUAAAUUUAUUAUGUGUGCACAGGGAAUUCACAUAAAUAUGAAGAAUUCCAAAGAUAGCAAGACAAGCUAAGAUAUGCGUGUGUGUGUGUAUAUGUGUGUGUGUGUGUGUUUCUGAGUCUCCACUGUGGCCAUAGCUUCUGCUCACUUACAUAGCAAUAUUCUUUAACCUGCAUAGUGGUUGAUAAUCUUCAUGGAUUAUCUCAUCAUCUUUAAGCCACAGAUCUGUCUGACUCGAACUUAGGCUUCCCUACAUUAAUAACCUCUACUCAUUUAUCUGUAGUCUAAGGCUUUUAGUGCUUUAUCUGCUCCUAAAUAUGACCUUAAAGUCUUCUCUGCCUUCUUAUCAUAUCUUACUAAGCAAUAGUUGGAAACUCUGUUGUUUUUUCUGAAAAUGGGUUUUUGAUUACUGAUACUUGGGACCCAGCCAUGGAUCUCAAUAGACCCACUGAACUCACCUGAAGAGGGCUUGAAAACCUGGUCUUCUACCAUGAUAUCUCACUUUUUCUCAGUCUUGUAUGCAGAUACAUCUUCAUGAUCCCAAGUGUUGGUAGUCACCUUUCACAAAGUGGUUGUGUACCACAAAUGGUUCCAUAUUUCAGAAAUUUUAUGUCUUAAUUCAGCUUUAAAUUUUCUGUUACUUCCACCUUAAAGGCAUGCUGAGUUGUGGAGUUCCUGCUAUGGUGCAGCAGGUGAAGGAUUUGACAUUGUCUCUGUGUUGGCUCAGUUAGGAUUCAAUCACUGACCUGGGAACUUUCAUAUGCAUCAAGAAUAGGAAAAAAAAAAAAGAUAUAGUGAUUUGUAUCUCUGUGUCCUUAUAAUUCGUAGGUUCUCUUCCCUUUACAUAGAAUAUCCAAUUCAAUUUCCUCUUCCACACAUAAUAAAAGAUAAAAUAUAUCUUUUAUGUUCUACCAAAAAUAAUAUUUCCUAUGUGAAACCUUAGCUAACUUCUCCAGAAAUGAAUCUCUCUGUCAACUAUUUCACUUGUCUUUGUAUUUGUCCAUCCCCAUCAGAAUGUUAUUUCCUUGAAAGUAGGUUUAAAGUCUUACCUUAUGUCUUCGUUCUUUUAUUCUUUUUCUCUUCCUGUUCCAAAGUCAUAUGGAAGUUAUUCAUUUUUUUUUUAAUGGAAGUAAUAGAAUGAUUAAAUGUAUGCUUUAGGUUACACAGGAAUGGAAUAAUUACCAGAUAAUUUAUUAGAAGAGACUUCAAAAUAUGUAUUUCCAAAAAAAAGAAUGUUACUUUCAUAUAUGCCUUUUUAUACAAAGGUACAUGCAAAAGAAAAUGAGAAGUGAGACUCGGUAGAUAGCUAGGUUCUUGCUGGAAGUAUUAGCAAUAAUGUUUGGUUAAUUUACUUUGCCAUGAACUGGAUGAUCUUGCUAAUUAUUUUUGUUGUUCAGAGCAGAGGUAGUUGUAAAUCAAGGAGAACAGAAAAUAUUUUCAAGUACGUUUUUAACUUUAGUUAACUGGGACACUUAGCAUGCAUGUCAGAUACGGAAAGUCAGAAAGCAUUUUAUUUUCACUUUGCCAACACAAUUGUGGGAGAACUAAUAGCCUUUAAUAGCCUUUCGAAGAGCAAAGAUGUUUCAUUAUGCAAUGUUGAAGGUAAAAAGUUUAAGGAAACAGGUUUUUAGACUGUCAUCUCCAAAUUCUUUUCUUUUUUCACUUGGAAAGCAGAUGCAAGUUGCCAACUUGACAUAACUGAAAGGUGUUUCCCCUGGGAAGAGUUCCCGUCGUGGCGCAGUGGUUAACGAAUCCGACUAGGAACCAUGAGGUUGCGGGUUCGGUCCCUGCCCUUGCUCAGUGGGUUAACGAUCCGGCGUUGCCGUGAGCUGUGGUGUAGGUUGCAGACGCGGCUCGGAUCCUGUGUUGCUGUGGCUCUGGCAUAGGCUGGUGGCUACAGCUCCGAUUAGACCCCUAGCCUGGGAACCUCCAUAUGCCUCGGGAGCGGCCCAA
rnacentral:lncRNA from 1 species